AGCGAACGCUGGGGCAUGCUUAACACAUGCAAGUCGCACGGGCGCAGCAAUGCGUCAGUGGCGGACGGGUGAGGAGCGCGUAGGAACGUGUCCUGUGGUGGGGGAUAACGCUGGGAAACUGGCGCUAAUACCGCAUGAUCUGCUGAGGCAGAAAGCCGAGAGGCGCCAUGGGAGUGGCCUGCGUCCGAUUAGGUAGUUGGUGGGGUAAGGGCCUACCAAGCCUGUGAUCUGUAGCUGGUCUGAGAGGAUGAUCAGCCACACUGGAACUGAGAGACGGUCCAGACUCCUACGGGAGGCAGCAGUGGGGAAUUUUCCGCAAUGGGCGAAAGCCUGACGGAGCAAGACCGCGUGGGGGAGGAA
rnacentral:rRNA from 1 species